CCAGGGCCACACCCGGGCUGCCCGUCGCUUGGGAGCGGCGCCCACUGGAAAAGUGGGGAAGAUGCGGCGAGGCGGCCGCGGGUGACCGCUGGCAGCCAUUGUGGCGUGCUCCCGUGCUGUCUUCCAAGAGCCCCGAAAAUUGGGCUGCCAUAUAUUGGAAUCUACUACAUUGUAAUUUUAUUCACGUAUGGAACACCUGUAUAUACUUUUGAUUCUUGCUACAGAAACACAGUUCUGUAAAUGAAGGCCCAGCCAAAAAACCUUAAGAAGAUAGAGGUCAAAUUUUGCCUCCCCUACAGUUUCUGGUUAUGAGGUUGGGAUUUCAAUGGUUGGGACACUGAGAGAUCCUGGGACAGCUGACAAAAAGCCAG